GCAUAUCAAUAAGCGGAGGAAAAGAAACCAACAGGGAUUGCCCUAGUAACGGCGAGUGAAGCGGCAACAGCUCAAAUUUGAAAUCUGGCCUCGGCCCGAGUUGUAAUUUGUAGAGGAAGCUUUUGGCACGGCACCUGCUGAGUCCCCUGGAACGGGGCGCCAUAGAGGGUGAGAGCCCCGUAUAGCAGGACGCCUAGCCUCUGUAAAGCUCCUUCGACGAGUCGAGUAGUUUGGGAAUGCUGCUCAAAAUGGGAGGUAAAUUUCUUCUAAAGCUAAAUACCGGCCAGAGACCGAUAGCGCACAAGUAGAGUGAUCGAAAGAUGAAAAGCACUUUGAAAAGAGGGUUAAAUAGCACGUGAAAUUGUUGAAAGGGAAGCGCUUGUGACCAGACUCGCGCCGGGCUGAUCAUCCGAGCUUCUGCUCGGUGCACUCUGCCCGGCUCGGGCCAGCAUCGGUUCUCGCGGGGGGAUAAAGGCCCUGGGAACGUAGCUCCUCCGGGAGUGUUAUAGCCCGGGGUGCAAUGCCCUCGCGGGGACCGAGGACCGCGCUUCGGCAAGGAUG
rnacentral:rRNA from 1 species